rnacentral:rRNA from 1 species
CCUACGGGAGGCUGCAGUGGGGAAUAUUGGACAAUGGGGGGAACCCUGAUCCAGCCAUGCCGCGUGUGUGAAGAAGGCCCUCGGGUUGUAAAGCACUUUCAGUGAGGAAGAACGCCUGGUGGUUAAUACCCAUCAGGAAAGACAUCACUCACAGAAGAAGCACCAGCUAACUCCGUGCCAGCAGCCGCGGUAAUACGGAGGGUGCGAGCGUUAAUCGGAAUUACUGGGCGUAAAGCGCGCGUAGGUGGCUUGAUAAGCCGGUUGUGAAAGCCCCGGGCUCAACCUGGGAACGGCAUCCGGAACUGUCAAGCUAGAGUGCAGGAGAGGAAGGUAGAAUUCCCGGUGUAGCGGUGAAAUGCGUAGAGAUCGGGAGGAAUACCAGUGGCGAAGGCGGCCUUCUGGACUGACACUGACACUGAGGUGCGAAAGCGUGGGUAGCAAACAGGAUUAGAUACCCGUGUAGUC